CUUUAAAAAUCCCAUUUGGAUUUGAUUUAUGUAUAAAUUAUUGUGCGAUUUAUGUGUCUCUUUGAAUGUAAUGAUACACACUGUUUUAGGAAUUAUUUGUGUUAAAAAAAGUUAUAGGCCAAAAAGGCUAUAAUUACAUUUGUUAGUGCCAUUUUUUUUUAAAUCUUUGCAUGUUACUUUGGUGUUAAAUUUGAAAGCCCUAAUAAUAACACAUAAGCUGUGAAGAAGCCUGUGUGGUUUUAAUUCAUCUAUUAUUAUUUAAACAGUUGAGACUCGUGAAGAAGAGAUCACUUAUGCAGAGACGACAUUCUACAGAAGAAAAGCACAGAAAUCGAAAGUAGAAGAGGAGAGUCGUGUGGAAUAUGCACCAAUCGCAAUCAGAAGAUGAUCAAACUUAGAACAACAUUUAAGUACAAGACCCUUAUUGUCAAAUCAUUUUCAUUAGGAACCUCCUGCAAAGACCUCAGACUCUGAGUCUAUGGAUGAGCAUUUUCAUCGCAGCUUUUUCAUUUUUGCAAAACAUAGAUGCAAACUAUCCAUCAAAAGGUGACAAAGUGAACUCUGCUGUGGUAUCCAUUAUUUACAACUAAACAGAAAUGUGGUUUGAUCUGUUGGGCACAAAAACAGCUUGUGCAUGAGAAUGUGUCUACUGCUGGAUGUUUGCAUUUGAUGUCAGUUUGUUAAUGCGUGACUAAGGCGUCAAUAGUGUCUGUUUGAGUGUGCAUCUGUGCAAGUAUGAGUCUGAGGUGUCAGUAUUUUGGCUGUGUACAGCGUGUGCCGUGUGAGUGUGAUCAACAGGAUUUUUUUGCAUUUA